UACGUAGGGAGCAAGCGUUGUCCGGAAUCAUUGGGCGUAAAGCGCGCGUAGGCGGCCCUGUAAGUCCGUUGUGAAAGUCAAAGGCUCAACCUUUGAAAGCCGAUGGAUACUGCAGGGCUAGAGUUCGGAAGAGGCGAGUGGAAUUCCUGGUGUAGCGGUGGAAUGCGCAGAUAUCAGGAGGAACACCAAUAGCGAAGGCAGCUCGCUGGGACGUUACUGACGCUGAGACGCGAAAGCGUGGGGAGCAAACAGG
rnacentral:rRNA from 1 species